UACGGGGGGGGGCAAGCGUUGUUCGGAAUUACUGGGCGUAAAGGGCUCGUAGGCGGCCAACUAAGUCAGACGUGAAAUCCCUCGCGUUAACCGGGGAACUGCGUCUGAUACUGGAUGGCUUGAGUUUGGGAGAGGGAUGCGGAAUUCCAGGUGUAGCGGUGAAAUGCGUAGAUAUCGUAAGGAAGACCAGUGGCGAAGGCGGGUCUCUGGACAGUUCCUGACGCUGAGGCACGAAGGUCAGGGGAGCAAACGGG
rnacentral:rRNA from 1 species